rnacentral:rRNA from 1 species
UCCUACGGGGCGCAGCAGUGAGGAAUAUUGGUCAAUGGGCGGGAGCCUGAACCAGCCAAGCCGCGUGAGGGAAGAAGGUACAGCGUAUCGUAAACCUCUUUUGUCAGGGAACAAAGGCGGGGACUAGUCCCCGGAUGAGGGUACCUGAAGAAAAAGCAUCGGCUAACCCCGUGCCAGCAGCCGCGGUAAUACGGAGGAUGCGAGCGUUAUCCGGAUUUAUUGGGUUUAAAGGGUGCGUAGGCGGACUGGAAAGUCAGCGGUAAAAUCGAGAGGCUCAACCUCUUUCCGCCGUUGAAACUGUCGGU